rnacentral:rRNA from 1 species
UACGUAGGGUGCGAGCGUUGUCCGGAAUUAUUGGGCGUAAAGAGCUCGUAGGCGGUUUGUCGCGUCGGCCGUGAAAACUUGGGGCUUAACUCCAAGCUUGCGGUCGAUACGGGCAGACUUGAGUUCGGCAGGGGAGACUGGAAUUCCUGGUGUAGCGGUGAAAUGCGCAGAUAUCAGGAGGAACACCGGUGGCGAAGGCGGGUCUCUGGGCCGACACUGACGCUGAGGCGCGAAAGCCAGGGGAGCGAACGGG